rnacentral:rRNA from 1 species
GACAGAGGUGCCGAGCGUUAGGCGGAAUCACUGGGCUUAAAAGCGUGUGUAGGCGGAUUCCUAAGUACCUUGUGAAAUCCCACGGCUUAACCGUGGAACUGCUUGGUAUACUGGGUGUCUUGAGCCAACUAGGGGCGACCGGAACAAAACGGUGGAGCGGUGAAAUGCGUAGAUAUCGUUUGGAACGCCAAUGGUGAAAACAGGUCGCUGGGGUUGUGCUGGACGCUGAGACACGAAAGCCAGGGGAGCGAACGGGG